rnacentral:tRNA from 1 species
GGUCCCAUCGUCUAGUGGUCUAGGACACCACCCUCUCACGGUGGAGACACGGGUUCGACUCCCGUUGGGACUACCA